rnacentral:rRNA from 1 species
CCUACGGGGGGCAGCAGUAGGGAAUAUUGCACAAUGGGGGAAACCCUGAUGCAGCGACGCCGCGUGAGCGAAGAAGUAUUUCGGUAUGUAAAGCUCUAUCAGCAGGGAAGAAAAUGACGGUACCUGAGUAAGAAGCUCCGGCUAAAUACGUGACAGCAGCCGCGGGAAUACGGAGGGAGCAAGCGUUAUCCGGAUUUACUGGGUGUAAAGGGAGCGCAGGCGGCCUUGCAAGUCUGAUGUGAAAUACGGGGGCUCAACCCCGGAGCUGCAUUGGAAACUGGGAGGCUGGAGGGUCGGAGAGGCAGGCGGAAUUCCUAGUGUAGCGGUGAAAUGCGUAGAUAUUAGGAGGAACACCAGUGGCGAAGGCGGCCUGCUGGACGAUGACUGACGCUGAGGCUCGAAAGCGUGGGGAGCAAACAGGAUUAGAUACCCCAGUAGUC